rnacentral:RNase_P_RNA from 1 species
GGAGCCGGCCGGGCAGCCGCUGUGCGUUUCACAGAGGAAAGUCCGGGCUCCGCAGAGCGGGAUGCAGGGUAACGCCCUGGCGCGGCAACGCGACGAAUAGGGCCACAGAGACGAGUCCCGGUGCACGAAGUACCGCAGGUUCACGCCUGCGGAGCGCCGGGGGUGAAACGCGGCAACCUCCAUCCGGAGCAACACCAAAUAGGCAAGCGCGGUGCGGCAACGCACUACAGGCCGGCUCGGCCGAGCUUGCGGGUAGGUGGCUAGAGCCCGGGGGCGACUCCGGGCCCAGAGGAAUGGCUGCCGGCGCGGCGCGAGCCGCGCCACAGAACCCGGCUUACAGGCCGGCUCCCAUU